GGCAAGAUGAUGAUAUAUUUUUCUGAAUUCAAUGUGGAAAUACUAUUUCGUCUUCAAAGUUCUCUGAUUGCC